UACAGAGGGGGCAAGCGUUAUUCGGAAUUAUUGGGCGUAAAGGGCGCGUAGGUGGCUUGGCAAGUGGAAGGUGAAAUCCCUCGGCUUAACCGAGGAACUGCCCUCCAAACUGCUUCGCUUGAGACCGGGAGAGGUGAGUGGAAUUCCCAGUGUAGCGGUGAAAUGCGUAGAUAUUGGGAGGAACACCAGUGGCGAAGGCGGCUCACUGGACCGGUACUGACGCUGAUGCGCGAAAGCGUGGGGAGCAAACGG
rnacentral:rRNA from 1 species